AAUAAACAAACCGGGACAAGUAUGACGGAAAAGUGGCAUUGGAUGUGGCUGCCACAGCGCACCCACCCUUCCUGUGGUGCCCCUAGCGUCGUGAGGGAGGCACCACCCAUGUUCCGAGGCCGGAGCCACUGCCAGGCCAGACUACGACCGGUUCAUCUCCCCGCUGGAAAUUGCCUUAGGCCCACAUCAUCUUCAUCUCCAUUCUAAGUCAGGGCAAAACCACUACCCGGCCUGGACUGCACCAGCGGCAAGGCCUUCUUAAAAACGGAAAUUUGGCCCCGCAGAACUUUUAAGCCAAGUGGCUGUCAUUCAUCAAACACCUCUUUUCUCUCCUAAUUACCCUGCUGGAGCUCCAAGAGGACACAAAAGGGACAGACCCCGAGUUAGCGCAAGGCCAGACUUGGGACGACUUGGGACCCUUAUAAAGGGCGGUCCGGAAACCGGUAUUACGCCCUGCCUCGGCCACUGCAGACCGUGACGUCGGAGAUGCUGCGUCGUAUGGGAGUCGCGUCGUGUUCGAGACGUUGUGCGGCUCGGG